CCUACGGGAGGCAGCAGUGAGGAAUAUUGGUCAAUGGACGAGAGUCUGAACCAGCCAAGUAGCGUGAAGGAUGACUGCCCUAUGGGUUGUAAACUUCUUUUAUAAAGGAAUAAAACGAGGCACGUGUGCCUUUUUGCAUGUACUUUAUGAAUAAGGAUCGGCUAACUCCGUGCCAGCAGCCGCGGUAAUACGGAGGAUCCGAGCGUUAUCCGGAUUUGUUGGGUUUAAAGGGAGCGUAGAUGGGUUGUUAAGUCAGUUGUGAAAGUUUGAGGCUCAACCGUAAAAUUGCAAUUGAUACUGGCAGUCUUGAGUACAGUUGAGGUAAGCGGAAUUCGUGGUGUAGCGGUGAAAUGCUUAGAUAUCACGAAGAACCCCGAUUGCGAAGGCAGCUUACUAAACUGUGACUGACAUUGAUGCUCGAAAGUGUGGGUAUCAAACAGGAUUAGAUACCCUUGUAGUC
rnacentral:rRNA from 1 species